AGUUCCUCGGCCCUGCUCUUCCUGCCCAGACGCUCGUCGGGGACCGGGGCCAGGUUGCGAGGGGACACCGUGGUCUACAGCAUCCUCAAGAGGAGCCAGGGGGACGGCAAGGCUCCUGAAGGUCCCGACUACGAGAACGUCCCCCCUGGCCAGGGACAUGGGGACGGG